CUUUAGAUGAUCAUAAGAUACACAUGCAAAGUACCAAUCCUCAGUUUCUUUCCGUGACCUAAAUGGCACAGCAUCAGGAGUGCAAAGCUGGCCAAGGGAGGAGAAGAAAACGAGCUUUAGGCACUUGGAUUACUGGAAUCAGAGAGUUGCUGUUGAAUGAACAGUCACAAAACUUUGAAGCACAGUUAGUUUUACUCCAUCUUGGUAUUUAAUGUCUCUUUCACAUGGCAACUAUAUCAACAUAUGUCUCACCAUGAAGUCAAGAAGAGAAAAUCCAUGACCUUAUAAAAAUCAUUUUAAAAAGACCAUGUUAAGGCAAAACUGAGCAGGAUGAUUCUUGUGUACAACUCCCUUAACUUUACAAUAGGUGUAUACUCACAAGACUUCGUUGCCUGAAGCAGAGAUGAUAUGCCCAGCUCAAUAUCCUGCAGGAAUAAAGGCAGUAAAGGAACUCUAUUGCGGAAAUCCUUUCCCAGAAACACCAGUACCACCGCCAUCCUACUCCAUCCUCAAGCCAACUUGGUCUUGUACUUCAUUGACACAAACUGUUUGGUAUUCCUAGGCCUCAGUGAACCAAAAGAAAAAGGCAGCACAAGGGGCUAGCGAUCCUUCAAACCUCCCCUAAAGAGCAUGGCCACAAGGAGCAUGGACGCGUGAACAAAUGAGAGUCCUCUUAGGAAAGAAGUGUGUCAUGACUGUGCACACUCAACCUGACUGGCUUCACUCCCAAUCCAUUUGUAGGUAUGUCAGUGUCUGGCGCACACCGCUCUUUGGCCUACUUUGGCAUGCCUACACCCUCCCCACCCAGCCUGUCGCCUCUCCCUGGCAGGUAGGGCCUUGCCACUAUACACCACUAGAAUCAGCAUUUACAUCUAGUUGCUGAAUUGAAUGGCAA
ensembl:lncRNA